CUCUAACCCAUUAUUAACCAUGUCGUCAGGUAGGCCUCUAACCCAUUAUUAACCAUGUCGUCAGGUAGGCCUCUAACCCAUCAUUAACCAUGUCAUCAGGUAGGCCUCUAACCCAUCAUUAACCAUGUCAUCAGGUAGGCCUCUAACCCAUCAUUAACCAUGUCGUCAGGUAGGCCUCUAACCCAUCAUUAACCAUGUCGUCAGGUAGACCUGGUAGGCCUCUAACCCAUUAUUAACCAUGUCGUCAGGUAGGCCUCGUCACUAGGGUCGACGCCUCGUUUUGUCCUCGUCACUAGGGUCCAGAGUGUUUGCGUGGUCCGGGGGAAAAAACCGGGCCCUUUUUAUAACUCGAAGCUCAAGUUCAAGUGUCUCAGGAACCACAUUAAUGUGAUAUAGAACUCUUCUGAGAAAAUUCUGUCUCUACAGAUAGACGACUGCAUGAUCUAACUCUCUCUCUGUGUGU